UCGUAUAUAUCUCUGUACAAACGAUCAGCCUACAAAAUUUUAUCAACUGAAACCAUCGUGAUUGCAAAAGUGCAAGUUUCUUCAACAGCCAUUGUUUCACAAAAUAAAAAAUGCACAAGAUUAGUUUUAUAAAAAAAUGUACACGCAUCCCUGUCAAUACCUGUUUUGUUCAGUUUGUGCUUGUGAAUGUUAACUUUCAACAUCUGAAUUUCUCGGGCAACAGCUAAUCCAAUAGCCAGUAAGCUAUACAACCAUAAUCAUUCAGAAGUUCCAUCUGAAAGGAAAUGGGCUCCAAGUUGAUUGUUUUUGCUUUGAUGCAUGAAACAGAUUAAUAAUAAUUUUUUUGACUUGCUCGUUCUUGAUAGCUCCUAUAACUACUAUAUUAAAUGGCAACAAACAUCUUUUUUCUCCUAAUUUUGAGUUUUUUUCCGGAUUAACACUGAUUUGACACGUCUGCUCUCUUGUAGUUAAUUGCCCUUUUGAUUUUCUUGUGUACACUUUCGGUGCCUCUUAGAUGUUUGGUUGUCACUUUUCUUUGUUGCGUGAGCAUGAUGUGCUUCUUUCCGGUCUAGGUGGACAUAGCAUUUUUUUUUGAACCGCUUUGACCGCUCCCUCGAGCUCCUCUCUCCCCAUUAUCUCCUCAGCCAUGAGCUCCUCCCCAUUACUCCCAGCGGCAUCCUUGCCCCAGGGCCGCCGCCCUCCUCCCCUUCUCUGGCCAGGUUCGGCGCUGUCGCCUCCUCUUCCCCCGUUUCCACACCACCGUGGAGCUCGGCAGCGCCCCUACGCGCGCGCUCGCGAAAUCCUAGGCACGCCCUGGGCUUGGUCGCCGGCAUCCCCGGCCACCAUGGUGACGGCGCCCCUCCACUUGCCCCCUUCCUCCUCCUAAAUCAAUGGAUUCAGGCCACUACAACCUGCUCACAGAGUUAAUUGGAUUCUUGCAUGUCCUUCGGCAUCCCCAGACACCAUUGCGACGGCGCCCCUCCACCUGCCCCCUUCCUCCUCCUGAAUCAAUGGAUUUAGGACACUAUAACCUCUUCAAAGAGUUAAUUGGAUUCCUGCAUGGAGUAGCUACUACUGCUGCCCUGAACAUAGCCAAACAGGGUAAUUUUCUCUGCAUUGACAUCCGACGAAACCUUCGUCCGGUGACUCUGUGCCGCUUCCACAUGGUGAAGUCUGAAGUGCCACCGAUCAGCUGCAAUGUCAUGUCUAGCAACAGCGGAGCACAUGACCUUUAAAUGUUUCUUUAUAAUGUUUGCACAGAUUGAUUAAACUGAGAUACUACAAUGCAGAUCCGUGGUUGAGACCACUUGCCAACCAAGUGAUCAGGUUUAGUACUUCAGUGCCUUCAAACCUCUUCAACUUUCUUUGGAUUGACACUUUUUUCCUUUCACUAUAGGGAUUGCUAAUGAGGCACUGUUUUUUUUUUCUUUACUGUAUCUUGGAUGUAAAAAUUGGGAGAAUCAUCGUAUUUCUGAUAUUGCAGCUAUUUAGUUACAUUCAGAUUUGGUGUGUACAUAAGUACUAUGUUCAAAUCAGACUUCAGAACAAAAAAGGUUGUGAUAGAAGUUCACUAAUGACUUGCCCUAUGAUAAGAUACUGCAAGCGCAUGCUAAUUUACUGCCUAGCUAAGAAGACGAUCCACAUGGGGGUGCUUGAGAUCAUGCUACUGUCUGAGAAGCAGGUGCAGCGACGGUGAAGGCCACCACGUCAACCACGGCCUCGGAGGUGACGAGAGCGGAGCGAUCGACGAGGAUGGAGACGGUUGCGACGCCAUGUGAGCUCGAUCGCAGAUGUCGAACUUUUGUUUUUUCACAUGUUUUUCCUUUUUGUGUUCUUUCUGUGAAUUUUGCGGACAUUUGUAUGGCCAGAUAUUGAUUUUCACAUGCUUUUCGUAUUUAGGUUUAUUGAUUUUCUUGCAUAUUGUACUUCACUGAAAUCUUAUUGAUGAAUGGCAUGGCCGUAAAAGAACAUUAGAAAAUCUGCACUUCUCGCCCUUAUUUUAGGCAUUGGUACCAGAUUAAUCAAGUUUUCUAUUCAUUCAGAGUUGCACUUUCUGUCCAAUCUACUUUUAUAUCUUGAUAUUUGGGAUCAAACAAAUUAUUGCGGGUGCGGGAAAAAGUUGCAUCAUAUCCUGUCCUUUCUGGACUAGCAAAGCUUUUCUAUCCUGUAGUAACUAGGCGAUAGUUUUCAUCUUCCCCAUUGAGAGGGCACUCUCGCUGAUGAGAAUGAUACCUGGUCUUGGAGAAUUCCAGGUUUUAGCAUCUCCAAGGGAUAUAUAAAGUUCACACUGAAUAUUAUACUAUCCAUGCAAAUUUUCAUUAGUUAUGAAGUCAUGUACUCAACUCAACCGUGUUGUUUUUCUUGACUUUACUUUUGGAUAGGCUGAACACAAGAGACAUGUUGCAGCGUCGAUUUUUUUUUAAAUAUUAGUGGUGUAUAAUGUAAAACGAACUCACAAUUGAGGGGAACUCUCAUUCUUUCAACACAGUUUGCCUAGACAUGGCUGAAAUUAUCUUUAUUCAGAUCUCACGGCUACAAGUUCAAUUAAUAGUAACACUCGAAAUAUGUUGAUUGUCCCAUUUCAUAUGAAAAUUAUUACAUCAAUUUUCUGGAGUAUCUGGUGGCUAUUUUCGUACUUUUUACCCUCCAAAUAAAAUAUUGUAGCUCAUAUGGACCCUCAAACUGAUUCUGCUACCAGUAUGUUCAUGUUUUCUUUUCAACUGGAAUCCAAAAUUUACAUAUCCAUGGCUAUAUUUUCUUGACAGCUUUGAGAGAUGCAGAGUAAUAACUGCCUUUUCACAAAUUUUAGUUGUUACUUGUUAGUAACCACCUGUUCAUAUGUUCCUGUUUUUUUUCUAUCAUAUAUAGAUAAAUGAGCAAGGAUCCAUUUAGUUUGGUUUCCAAGUAUUCCAUUAGGGAUUGCACAUUAUUGAAAACUCUACAAGUCCGAGUAGUUUUGAUCUGUUUUGGUGCUGCCUAGGUUGUGCACGAAUUAAUGAAUAUCAAUCAUUAUGGCUUCCUUUAUGGAAUCGAAACUGAUAAUACAUCUUAGAAUUGAUCUUUAGUUGGUCCUUCCGGAGUAUACAACUAUUAUUGACCAAAUUUAUCGGAGUGGAAUAUGUAGUGUAUCAUAAUCCAAUACACAAUGCCCUUCAAUUUUUUAACUGUCGUUGUAUUUUUUCAUUGUUUUGGUGUGCUUGAUUAGUUGAUUUUGUGAUAACACAAUGGAAGGGUUUCCGUAGCAGAUAGGGAUGGGCUUGGAUGGAUGAGAAAACACCUUGUUAAUGAUCUCUCGAGUUCAAUAGAACUAUAGUUGCCCCCUUUAUUUGAAAAUAUGAAGCAGGUGGUUUCCAUCGGGUGGAGGUAGAGACAACAACUUAUUCCAUUUGGUUUCGUGGCAACACCGAAUCCUCACUAGAAAAAAAAACUUUGAAUGGUCAAUGCAACUAUGCAGUAAAGAGGGACCAAUAGUUUAUUUUUUUAUUGAGCAGCUCCAGAACAUAUUACAUGUGCUUGAAUAUCUACUUCAGCUUAUUUCCAAAGGUGGUUGCUGUAAUGUCUCAACAACCUAACUAAGUAAAAAAGGUUUUAGAAGGUAUCUCUCCUUUCUUUCAGAAUAUUUUCAUCUAUCUACUGUUGUAUUUGGAUUUUUUGGUCUAUUGUUCAGAUGAUUCAUAUGUGCAUCUAGGUUGUUCUCAUAAGUUCUAUAUUUAUUUGUCAUUACAGUGUCUUUGGUUUGUCGGCGCAAAAUGGAAUGUACUUACAUUUAUUCAGUUAUCUCUGAAAGUUUAAUUGAAGUCUGAGUGAUCGACUUUUUGUUUAUAUGCAGAUUCUACGGAGUGGUCCAUCCUUACAAGUCGUUUCUACAACUUAUUCCAGGUAUUUGAGGUUGCUUCUCUUUUGUAUGGAAAUCAAUCAGCCAUUUGCUUUCUCUGUGUUAAUGCAUAUGCAAACAUUGUCUUAUCUGAGGUUGCCUCUAAAUAUGAUUACAAAAUAUUAUAUGCACAUACUACCUCCUCUAUCCAACUAUUGAAGAAUGUCUCUUCUAAGCUAUUGCUAACAUGUAGUUAUUCUUAUAAGUAUCAGCAAAAGGUACUUGUAUGCUUCAGUGAUACUGAUAUCGGUUGGCGGUAUGGUCCACAAUUUCUAGAGCCCACAGAAAAGUCAAUAUUGUUACCAAUCAGACACCAAUUGUGUUAGAUAAAUUAUAAAUUUCUUAACUAGGGCAAAAAAGAAAAAUUUCGGUUACAUUUGUAGUUGUACCCGUAUGUUACUAGCACUAGGUAAUAUAUUUGGAUUGACGUUUAGAUUCUCCACCUUGACGCAAAGAGCAGACCCAACAGUGACACUACAAUCAAAUAUACACUUUCUCACCAUGGAACUACUUCAAGGAAAACAAAGCUAGCCAUUACCUUAUAGUCCUGGCAACACUCGGCAGAAUACCUGCGCUAACAUGUUGAUGGUUGCGGCCUAACAUGCAUAUGUGCACUGGUAUGGAAUACUUGCCAGAAUACUGUUGCCAAAGGUCAAUAGCAACACGAAAUAUUUCAACGUACAUACACGACCACUGCUAUUCUCCAUAUAAAACAUGGGUGUUAGUUUUGCUCCAGGUACAGGUAAGAACGCUCCAGUUCUCUCCGCGUACUUCUUUUGGUUCUUUCCAGGUAUAAUAUAUUAUGUUAUUUCUCAAAUGUUUUUGUUGCUGCAGAAAAGAUUUCUGCCAUCCCAGAACAAUUGUUCCUUUAUACUUUUUAAAUGUUUAUCAUAUGCCUAGAUCAAUUUUUUCUUUACCACUUUGAUGUCCUUUCCUUGAAAUUGUCUGUAUCGGAAUCUUUUUCUUUACUGCUUACUCAGUUCUUAGAGUUUUCUCAUUCACACACAAUCUAAAUUUUCAUAGUAUAUUUAUUGUUUCUGUACAUGCCAAGUAUGAGGCUAUGAGCAUUCAAGAAGGCUACGUGGUCGAAUUCCCCUCAGUUUUAGAGAUUGGCAACUACUCCCUCCGUACCGCUUUAAUCGAUGCACAGUGAUGCCUACCCAAGCAUAUACGUAUGUGAUGGCCGGCGUCAAUUAAAUAGGAAUCGAGACUUCAAACUUCAAAAGAAGCGUGCAGGGAUGUAGGGUUGGCUCCGCCCUGGGCGGCUGUCAUCUCGUUGAUUUGCGGAUGGACGGUUGGACGGCGGUGCAGCGGACGCGACGGCGGUCG